CUGAGUGUUACAACUCCCAACCCUUUGUGAACUUACCAUUGUUGCUUCGGCGGCUGCUACGUGGCCGCCGGAGGACCGAAACUCUUGCUUGAUCAGUGGUUUUCUCUCUGAGUGGCAUAAGCAAAAUAAAAUUA
rnacentral:misc_RNA from 1 species